GCAAGAGUGGCGGAAUUGGUAUACGCGUACGCUUGAGGUGCGUAUGGAUUUUUCCUUGAGGGUUCAAGUCCCUUCUCUUGUACCA
rnacentral:tRNA from 1 species